rnacentral:rRNA from 1 species
ACUACGGCAAGUCCCAUUACAAUCGUCAGCAUCGGUGCUUUGGCCGGCUCAAGAUCCGGGUACAGCAGAAUCGACAUCGAAACGGAAGUUCCCUCCGGCGAUUUCCAGACUCUGCCACGGCGGCCUUUUCCGGCAGUCUGCGUCUCGGCCGUUGUCAGUGUGCCGUUCGGCGCACCCUCUUCCGCCAACCGCUUCGCCCACGUGUUUGUCGAAUCCACCUCACGGCUGUAAUAAACCGUCUGUCCGACAUAUUUCGUAUGCGUGCGGCUUUCCAGCUCAUCCUUCGUUACGAGAUCCGGCUCAUUUAACAGACGGUAUCCCUUAUUCUGAACGGCUUCAAUCUCGUAUCCCUCUUCCUUCAACUGAUUCAUCAUCUUCCAUACUGCGGUGCGGGAAAUCCCAAAAUGUUCACACAGCUCCUGUCCGGAAACAUUUUUUCCGGAUUCCCGCAGAAGACGCAGCGUCUCGGCUCUACCGUGAGGGAAAGGUGAAAAGCACUUCGAACAGAAGAGUGAAAUAGUCCCUGAACCCAUACGCCUACAAGCAGUCGGAGCCGCUUCGUGCGGUGACGGCGUGCCUUUUGCAUAAUGAGCCUACGAGUUACUCAUCACCAGCGAGGUUAAGUACUUCAGGUACGUAAGCCGAAGCGAAAGCGAGUCUGAAUAGGGCGUCAAGUUGGUGGUGGUAGACGCGAAACCUUAGUGAUCUACCCAUGGGCAGGGUGAAGGUUUGGUAACACAAACUGGAGGCCCGAACCGGUAAACGUUGAAAAGUUUUCGGAUGACCUGUGGGUAGGGGUGAAAGGCCAAUCAAACUGGGAAAUAGCUCGUACUCUCCGAAAUGCAUUUAGGUGCAGCCUCUGUUGUUUUGUUCUAGAGGUAGAGCUACUGAUUGGAUGCGAGGGCUUCACCGCCUAUCAAAUCCGGCCAAACUCCGAAUGCUAGAACAUGAAGACAGGGAGUGAGCCAGCGGGUGCUAAGGUCCGUUGACGAAAGAGGGAGAACUCAGACCAUCAGCUAAGGUCCCCAAUUGUAUGCUAAGUUGGAAUUAAAACGGGGUGGGACUGCUUAGACAGCUAGGAUGUUGGCUUGGAAGCAGCCAUUCAUUUAAAGAGUGCGUAACAGCUCACUAGUCGAGCGGUCCUGCAUGGAUAAUACGCGGGCAUAAGCAUAUAACCGAAGCUAUGGGAUUGUAGAUGAUACAAUCGGUAGGAGAGCAUUCCAUUCAGCGUAGAAGCAGUAUCGUGAGGUAUUGUGGAGCGGAUGGAAAAGCAAAUGUAGGCAUAAGUAACGAUAAUGCGGGUGAGAACCCCGCACGCCGAAAGAUCAAGGAUUCCCCGGCAAUGUCAAUCAUCCGGGGGUAAGUCGGAUCCUAAGGGUAAGCCGAGUGGCGAUCCCGAUGGCAAACAGGUUAAUAUUCCUGUACUGAUCAUAACUGCGAUGCAGCGACGCAGAGGUGACACUGCUGCGUACUGACGGAAUAGUACGUUGAAACCCGUAUUCUUUGAUACCGGUAGUGAAGCACGCCGGUAGAGAUGAAAGGUGAUAGUACCGCAAUGCUUCGGUUGCGCGGAUAACGCAGGUAAGCUGACUGCCAAGAAAACCUGCUAAGCUUCAGGUAAUGAUCAUCCGUACUGUAAACGGACACACGUGAUCAGGUAGAAAAUACUAAGGCGCUCGAGAGAUUCAUGGUUAAGGAACUAGGCAAAAUGGUCCUGUAACUUCGGGAUAAAGGACGCUCUUGUGAAAGAGCCGCAGAUAAUAGGCCCAGGCGACUGUUUACCAAAAACACAUGGCUAUGCUAAUUCGCAAGAAGAUGUAUAUGGCCUGACACCUGCCCGGUGCCGGAAGGUUAAGAGGAGAGCUCAGAGGCAACUCGAAGGUUUGAAUUGAAGCCCCGGUAAACGGCGGCCGUAACUAUAACGGUCCUAAGGUAGCGAAAUUCCUUGUCGGGUAAGUUCCGACCUG